rnacentral:sRNA from 1 species
UAAUAAACCUUUUUGCAGCGGCUAUCCUUUUUGUUGCGGCGGUUUUUUAUUAUAGAGGUAUGCUCACAAAAAGAUAGAAGCGGAAAGAAGGACUGCCG